rnacentral:rRNA from 1 species
GAUGAACGCUAGCGGCAGGCCUAACACAUGCAAGUCGAGGGAGAAGCCCUUUCGGGGGCAGAAACCGGCGCACGGGUGCGUAACGCGUAUGCAACCUACCUUUCACAGGGGGAUAGCCCGAAGAAAUUUGGAUUAAUACCCCAUAAUAUUAUUGGAUGGCAUCAUUUGAUAAUUAAAACUGCGGUGGUGAAAGAUGGGCAUGCGUCCUAUUAGCUAGUUGGAGUGGUAACGGCACCCCAAGGCUACGAUAGGUAGGGGUCCUGAGAGGGAGACCCCCCACAUGGUAAAGGAGACAGGGACCAGACGCCGGGGGGAGGAAGCAGAGAGAAAGAUGGGUAAAGGGUAGAAAGACUGACCCAGCCGUGCCGCGUGCAGAAAAAUUGUUUUGUGGUUUGUAAACUGUUUUUAUAGGGGAAGAAUAGGGGGUACGUGUACGUUGAUGAGGGAACCAUAUAAAAAAGCUGCGGCAAACCCCGUG